rnacentral:rRNA from 1 species
GACGAACGCUGGCGGCGUGCUUAACACAUGCAAGUCGAACGGAGCGAAUGAAAGCUUGCUUUUAUAAGCUUAGUGGCAAACGGGUGAGUAACACGUAGGCAACCUGCCGACAGGAUGGGGACAACAUUCCGAAAGGAAUGCUAAUACCGAAUGAAGUCGAGGGAGGGCAUCCUCCUCCGAUGAAAGAUGGCCUCUAUAUAUAAGCUAUCACCUGUCGAUGGGCCUGCGUCUGAUUAGCUGGUAGGUGAGGUAACGGCUCACCUAGGCGACGAUCAGUAGCCGGUCUGAGAGGAUGAACGGCCACAUUGGGACUGAGACACGGCCCAGACUCCUACGGGAGGCAGCAGUGGGGAAUCUUCCGCAAUGGGCGCAAGCCUGACGGAGCAACGCCGCGUGAGUGAAGAAGGUCUUCGGAUCGUAAAGCUCUGUUGAUGGGGGACGAACGUGCCUAAUGCGAAUAGUAUUAAGGUAAA